GUGCCGUUGCUUCUAAUGGCACUAUAGUCCGUAAAGAAGACCUUGAAAUGUUCGAAAAAGCAUUGUUAGCUGCGAACACUGCUCCUGCCAAAGUUUUGAAAGUGCUUGCCACCUGUACCCGGAACCUAAAAGACCUGGACAAUUCUCCAGCCGUACCAGAAGCCGGUACUGCGGACUCCCAAGCUGUAAAGGGAAUCCUUGCUGGGGAGUUUGACUAUGGGGACUCACUGGAUUCAGAUAGUGACCCUGGAGAGGUGUACUAUGCUGACAGUGAACCUAUUUACGCCCGGAGGUCGUUUUUAAAGGGG